rnacentral:rRNA from 1 species
GAAUUGAGAAGUUUGCUGGAGGUAUCAGAAGUGCGAAUGCUGACAUGAGUAACGAUAAUGCGGGUGAAAAACCCGCACGCCGGAAGACCAAGGGUUCCUAUCCCAUGUUAAUCAGGGUAGGGUAAGUCGACCCCUAAGGCGAGGCCGAAAGGCGUAGUCGAUGGGAAACGGAUUAAUAUUUCCGUACUUGGUAUAAUUGCGAUGGGGGGACGGAGAAGGCUAAGCAAGCAUGGCGAUGGUUGUCCAUGUGAAAGUGAGUAGGCUAGUGACUUAGGUAAAUCCGGGUUGCCUUUAAGGCCGAGAACUGAUGACGAGCCCUCUUUUGGGUGAAGUGGUUGAUGCCAUGCUUCCAGGAAAAACUUCUAAGCUUCAGAUAUACGGGAACCGUACCCCAAACCGACACAGGUGGUCAGGUAGAGAAUACUAAGGCGCUUGAGAGAACUCGGGUGAAGGAACUAGGCAAAAUGGUACCGUAACUUCGGGAGAAGGUACGCCGAUUUUGGUGAUGGGAUUUACUCCUUAAGCUGAGAUUGGUCGAAGAUACCAGGUGGCUGCGACUGUUUAUUAAAAACACAGCACUCUGCAAACACGAAAGUGGACGUAUAGGGUGUGACGCCUGCCCGGUGCUUGAAGGUUAAUUGAUGGGGUUAGCGUAAGCGAAGCUCUUGAUCGAAGCCCAAGUAAACGGCGGCCGUAACAAUAACGGUCCUAAGGUAGCGAAAUUCCUUGUCGGGUAAGUUCCGACCUGCACGAAUGGCGUAACGAUGGCCACACUGUCUCCACCCGAGACUCAGUGAAAUUGAAAUCGCAGUGAAGAUGCUGUGUACCCGCGGCUAGACGGAAAGACCCCGUGAACCUUUACUACAGCUUGGCACUGAACAUUGAACCUACAUGUGUAGGAUAGGUGGGAGACUUUGAAGCAGCGACGCUAGUUGUUGUGGAGUCGUCCUUGAAAUACCACCCUUGUAGUUUUGAUGUUCUAACGUUGGCCCCUGAAUCGGGGUUACGGACAGUGCCUGGUGGGUAGUUUGACUGGGGCGGUCUCCUCCCAAAGAGUAACGGAGGAGCACGAAGGUUGGCUAAGUACGGUCGGACAUCGUACGGUUAGUGUAAUGGUAGAAGCCAGCUUAACUGCGAGACAGACACGUCGAGCAGGUACGAAAGUAGGUCAUAGUGAUCCGGUGGUUCUGAAUGGAAGGGCCAUCGCUCAACGGAUAAAAGGUACUCCGGGGAUAACAGGCUGAUACCGCCCAAGAGUUCAUAUCGACGGCGGUGUUUGGCACCUCGAUGUCGGCUCAUCACAUCCUGGGGCUGAAGCCGGUCCCAAGGGUAUGGCUGUUCGCCAUUUAAAGUGGUACGCGAGCUGGGUUUAGAACGUCGUGAGACAGUUCGGUCCCUAUCUGCCGUGGACGUUUGAGAUUUGAGAGGAGCUGCUCCUAGUACGAGAGGACCGGAGUGGACGAACCUCUGGUGUUCCGGUUGUGAUGCCAAUCGCAUUGCCGGGUAGCUAUGUUCGGACGGGAUAAGCGCUGAAAGCAUCUAAGCGCGAAGCCUCCUUCAAGAUUAGCUUUCCCUGAUUCUUUAGAAUCCUGUAGGGCCGUAGAAGACUACUACGUUGAUAGGCUGGGUGUGGAAGCGUUGUAAAGCGUUGAGCUAACCAGUACUAAUUGCCCGUGAGGCUUGACCCU